rnacentral:rRNA from 1 species
AUGGCCGGCGAUGAGAACCAGCCGCUAAACGAUGCACGUGCCGACGGCGUGGAUGAGGACCAGCCGGCGCGCCUGCCCGACGACGUGAUCGCGGACGUCCUCCGCCGCGUCCCGCCACUCUGGCUCGCCGCCUCCCGCUGCGUCUGCAGGGCCUGGCGCGACACCAUCGAUGCGCACCGCCUCCUGCGCGCCGACCUGCUCCCGCUCUCGCUGGCCGGCCUCUUCAUCCACUUCAACGAGCACAAAUAUCCCGAGUUUUUCGCCCGUCCCUCCUCCGUGGACGGCGCCCAUGCGGUCAGCGGCAACCUCAGCUUCCUGCCCUCCCCUGCCCCUCACGCCGGCGGUAUAUGGGACAACUGUGAUGAUUGGUACGACUACUACAUCCACGAUCAUUGCAACGGGCUCCUCUUGCUUGGCAAUAACUGCGUGGUUAACCCUGCCACACGCCAAUGGAGUACUCUACCAACGUGCCCGGUCAAGGGUCGUACAGGGAGGGUGUCCUACAGUGAGCACCUAGUUUAUGAUCCCACAGUAUCACCACACUACGAGGUGUUUAUGAUCCCUUUCUUGGAAGGCAAUCCUUACGGACACGAUGUAGACCCCUUGACGGAGGAUUCUGAAUGGCCACCGUCCCAAUGUAAGAUGUAUGUAUUCUCAUCAAUCUCUGGAUGUUGGGAGGAUAGGUAUUUCUACCGAGAAGGGGCGGCUGCUGGGAUCGUCGGCGACAUGCCGGAAGUUUUCAUGCAUUUCAAUGCUGUCUAUUUCCGAAGAGCACUUUAUGUACACGUCGGAGCUGGUUUUGUUAUGAGAAUAUCAUUGUCCGGUAACACGUACAGUGUAAUUGAACCACCCGUUGACACCACUAGCAACUAUAUGGAUGCUCACGUUGUAAGAUCAAAAUAUGGAGUCUACUUUGUGGCUUUCGAGAACUCCCGCCGUCUGGAUAAGUAUCGGCUUAGAGUUUGGAUCCUUAAUGAAUCAUGUGAAGAGACAAAGUGGAUGCUGAAGCAUGACAAAGACCUUAAGCCCGUGCUAGCACGUCACCGGUCCGACCAACGAGCCCAUGGACCCUGGAUCUUAGAAGAUAUUAACUACGACCUGUUUCAUUCUUCUCGUUCUCCGAAAGACAUCAAGGAAGCAUCAACUAAAGACAUACAUGAAUGGAACUCUGACGAUGAUAAUGAUGAUGUUGAAGAUUGUUACUGCAAUAAAGAGAGUUGCAAGGAGACAUAUGAUAUCGAGAUUCUCGGGUUUCACCCCCAUAAAGAGAUUGUGUUCCUGAGUGAAUCGGUGCAUACAGGACUGGCCUAUCAUUUAAAUGGAUCAAAGAUUGAAGUCUUAGGAAAUAUAUACCCAAAGGAUUGUCUUAAGUUCAAAACGAUAUUGAAUGAAAGGGAGUGGAUCGCACCCUUUCCAUACACGCCAUGUUGGAUUGAAGAGUUUCCCGGGAACAACUAUAGUAAACUAGUCUUGUAG